GAGUGGGGGUGACUGGUGACAGAGUGAGGGGGUGACUGGUGACAGAGUGAGUGAGUGGGUGACCAGUGACAGAGUUAGGGAAUGGGUGACUAGUGGCAGAGUGGGGGAGGGAGGGAAGAGAGGACUAGUGACAGAGUGUGGGGAAUGACUGGUGACAGAGGGAGGGAGUGACUAGUGACAGAGGGAGGGAGGGGGUGACUGUCACUAGUCACCCCAUCCCUCUCUCUGUCACUAGUCACCCCCCCUCACUCUGUCACUAGUCACCCCCUCCCUCACUCUGUCACUAGUCACCCCCUCACUCACUCUGUCACUAGUCACCCCCUCACUC